rnacentral:rRNA from 1 species
AUUGAACGCUGGCGGCAGGCCUAACACAUGCAAGUCGAGCGGAUGAAGGGAGCUUGCUCCUGGAUUCAGCGGCGGACGGGUGAGUAAUGCCUAGGAAUCUGCCUGGUAGUGGGGGAUAACGUCCGGAAACGGGCGCUAAUACCGCAUACGUCCUGAGGGAGAAAGUGGGGGAUCUUCGGACCUCACGCUAUCAGAUGAGCCUAGGCCGGAUUAGCUAGUUGGUGGGGUAAAGGCCUACCAAGGCGACGAUCCGUAACUGGUCUGAGAGGAUGAUCAGUCACACUGGAACUGAGACACGGUCCAGACUCCUACGGGAGGCAGCAGUAGGGAAUAUUGGACAAUGGGCGAAAGCCUGAUCCAGCCAUGCCGCGUGUGUGAAGAAGGUCUUCGGAUUGUAAAGCACUUUAAGUUGGGAGGAAGGGCAGUAAGUUAAUACCUUGCUGUUUUGACGUUACCAACAGAAUAAGCACCGGCUAACUUCGUG